AUGGAGCAUGCCGCGUGAGUGAAGAAGGGUUUCGGCUCGUAAAACUCUGUUGUUAAAGAAGAACACCUUUGAGAGUAACUGUUCAAGGGUUGACGGUAUUUAACCAGAAAGCCACGGCUAACUACGUGCCAGCAGCCGCGGUAAUACGUAGGUGGCAAGCGUUGUCCGGAUUUAUUGGGCGUAAAGCGAGCGCAGGCGGUUUUUUAAGUCUGAUGUGAAAGCCUUCGGCUUAACCGGAGAAGUGCAUCGGAAACUGGGAGACUUGAGUGCAGAAGAGGACAGUGGAACUCCAUGUGUAGCGGUGGAAUGCGUAGAUAUAUGGAAGAACACCAGUGGCGAAGGCGGCUGUCUAGUCUGUAACUGACGCUGAGGCUCGAAAGCAUGGGUAGCGAACAGGAUUAGAUACCCUGGUAGUCCAUGCCGUAAACGAUGAGUGCUAAGUGUUGGAGGGUUUCCGCCCUUCAGUGCUGCAGCUAACGCAUUAAGCACUCCGCCUGGGGAGUACGACCGCAAGGUUGAAACUCAAAGGAAUUGACGGGGGCCCGCACAAGCGG
rnacentral:rRNA from 2 species